GUCCACGCCUAACGAUGUCUACUAGUUGUCGGGUCUUAAUUGACUUGGUAACGCAGCUAACGCGUGAAGUAGACCGCCUGGGGAGUACGGUCGCAAGAUUAAACUCAAAGGAAUUGACGGGACCCGCACAAGCGGUGGAUGAUGUGGAUUAAUUCGAUGCAACGCGAAACCUUACCUACCCUUGACAUGUACAGAAUGCCGAAGAGAUUUGGCGGUGCUCGCAAGAGAACUGUAACACAGGUGCUGCAUGGCUGUCGU
rnacentral:rRNA from 1 species